rnacentral:rRNA from 1 species
CCCACUCCCGGCACGGGGAGGUAGUGACGAAAAAUAACAAUACGGGACUCUUUUGAGACCCCGUAAUUGGAAUGAGUACACUCUAAAUCCUUUAACGAGGAUCUAUUGGAGGGCAAGUCUGGUGCCAGCAGCCGCGGUAAUUCCAGCUCCAAUAGCGUAUAUUAAAGUUGUUGCGGUUAAAAAGCUCGUAGUUGGAUCUCAGUUCCAGACGGGCGGUCCUCCUAACGGUGGUUACUGCCUGGCCUGAACAGCCAGCCGGUUUCCCUAGAUGAUCUUCACCGGUUGUCUUGGGUGACCGGCACGUUUACUUUGAAAAAAUUAGAGUGCUCAAAGCAGGCGUGUAGCCUGAAUAAUGGUGCAUGGAAUAAUGGAAUAGGACUUCGUUUCUAUUUUGUUGGUUUUCGGAACACGAGGUAAUGAUUAAGAGGGACAGACGGGGGCAUUCGUAUUGCGACGCUAGAGGUGAAAUUCUUGGACCGUCGCAAGACGAAC